GAUGAAGAACGUAGUGAAAUGCGAUAAGUAAUGUGAAUUGCAGAAUUCAGUGAAUCAUCAAAUCUUUGAACGCACAUUGCGCUCCUUGGUAUUCCGGGGAGCAUGCCUGUUCGAGCGUCAUUAUAACCCUUCAAGCUCAGCUUGGUGUUGGGGCCUGCUGUAACUGGUAGCCCUUAAAAUCAGUGGCAGUGCUAUUAGGCUCUAAGCGUAGUAAUUCUUCUCGCUAUAGUGUGUAGUGAGCGCUUGCCAGAACCCCAAACUUUUAUAUGAUUGACCUCGGAUCAGGUAGGGAUACCCGCUGAACUUAAGCAUAUCAAUAAGCGGAGGA
rnacentral:misc_RNA from 1 species